GUGCUCACUUCGCACCACAUAUACUAAAACUGGAGCAAUACAGAGAUUACCAUGGCCACUGCACAACGAUGACAUGCAAAUGCAUAAAGCAUUCUGAUUUUCA